UGGAAACAAUGAAAACGUGGUUGCGUAGAAAAUGAUAAACCUAUGACCGGUUACGAAUGAAUCAAUUGAUUUACUAGGAAUAAAUUCCAUCCAGCUUUGUAUAAUAUUUAGUAACGUGGGUUAGUUGAUAACAUUCUUUCUGUUGGUCGCUAGUUCGGACGGAUCUGAUAAAAAAAUAUAUUGAAGCGACACAGACAAGUUGCAAUAGAAUACGGACAUUCUAGAGCAGAGAUCCAGAAAUCGAAGGAAACUAUCUUUGUUUGCCUGAAUCAUUAAUACAAAAUUACAUUUUAUUAACUGCGAAUUUGACGAAGAUAACUUCUGUUCAUGCGGAUAUUUCUUUCCAGCUAUGAUCGAACACGAAAAUAUGUCUGAUAUGGAGAACGUGCUGAAAUGAACAUUGGAUGGUCACAUCUUAUCUAGUCAAUUCUCGAAAAUAUUGACAGGGUUUUAGAGGACCGAUUUUACGCAGAUAAACUCUUAUCUAUGAUUAUUGACAAUGAAAUGCAAAGAAUGCAGAAUAACUCGAGUAAUUCUGUUACCACUUAUGAUGUCUCCAAAAUGAGAUUAUAUAUUUUAGUGUAUAUAAUAUCUCAAGUGUGCUAAGGUGUGGAACGGAAAUAUCCAAUCUAUUCCUUAUCAGAUUAUUCAUUCAUUAAAUUUCCAAUAGCUAGUCACAUCGAAUUGUUUGCUCACCUCUUAUCUAUUGACAAAACCAAAUAAAUAGGUAUCGUGUUGAGGAUAUUGGCACACUGAUCGCAACUUUGUUUGAUAUCAGUAUUAGGCACUGAAAAAUGGCACCUCCACCACCACCACACGAUCCACACGGUCCCCAGGAGCCUCCACAUGAUCCACAUGGGCCUCAGGAGCAUCCUCAUGAUCCUCAUGGUCCUCGUAGACCACUUGGAGGCCCCGGCCCUGGUCCUCAUGGUCAUGAAGGUCCCCAAGAGCCAAUUCAUCCACAACCGUUUUAAACCGACUGAAAGCUAAUUAGGAUUAAGUUGAACUUUUUUGAUAUAAUAAAAGCCUCAAAUAUACAUUAUAAUUUGCAUGCAAUUAUACCGCCAUAUUUUCCUCUCAGCGUUACAAAAUCUCAAACUACAAUAAAAGUAGACAGAUGAUACUGUUUUAUUAGAAAUGUAGAAUAUUAGCGAUGAAAUUAAAUGUUCUCGAAAUUA